UUAACUCGAAAUUGUAUGCAGUUGGAACAGCGCCCCUGGCGACAAACGUAGCCAAACGUUCCAGCUCCAUACAAAUUCGAGUUA
rnacentral:pre_miRNA from 1 species